rnacentral:rRNA from 1 species
AACGAACGCUGGCGGUAUGCCUAACACAUGCAAGUCGAACGAGACCUUCGGGUCUAGUGGCGCACGGGUGCGUAACGCGUGGGAACCUGCCCUUAGGUUCGGAAUAACUCCCCGAAAGGGGUGCUAAUACCGGAUAAUGUCUUCGGACCAAAGAUUUAUCGCCUUUGGAUGGGCCCGCGUUGGAUUAGCUAGUUGGUAGGGUAAAAGCCUACCAAGGCGACGAUCCAUAGCUGGUCUGAGAGGAUGAUCAGCCACACUGGGACUGAGACACGGCCCAGACCCCUACGGGGGGAAGCAGGGGGGAAUAUGGGAAAAGGGGGGAAAGCCUGACCCAGCAAUGCCGGGGGAGGGAUGAAGGCCUUGGGGUUGUAAAGCUCUUUUACCCGGGAUGAUAAUGACAGUACCGGGAAAAAAAGCCCCGGCAAACUCCGG